UGUGAAAUGAGGAGUUGGACUAGAGUC
rnacentral:piRNA from 1 species